rnacentral:sRNA from 1 species
CCGGCUGUGAGAAGGCUGAGGAGGAGCCUCGGGCGGGCGAGCAGGGAAAAUUCCGAGAAGCCCUUUAUUAUGAGCUGGGCAUACAUACACCUUCCCUGUCUUCUGUGUUUGCCAACUUUCCUUGCCUGGAGUCUUCCUCAUGCAUGACUUCAUACAGUUGAAAUGAUGAAGCUCAGAGCCACACUGAAAGCCACACUGAUGAAGCGACCACCAGCCUGGACGUGUGACUGACUGAAGACUUCUUCUGGACUCAGAUAUGUGCAUGACUUUUGUGUCUGAUCAUUAUAUUGUGGGUUUACGUAUUACUCUAAUUCAUAUAUGUUCCCAAUAUAUUGUCUAACCUUCUAUGUAGUAACUGUGGUGGUUUGAAUAUCUUCCAUAACCUCUGAGUACUUAGUCCCCAGUUGGUGCUGUUUGGGGAGGCUUAGGAAGAAUGUCACUGGGGGUGGGCUUUGUGAGUUCAAAGACUCCCACCAUUGACAGUCCGCUCUCUGCUCCCUGCCUGUGGUCCAAGCCAUGAGCUCUCUGCUGUUGCUCCAGUUGCCAAGCCUGCCUGCUGCCUUGUGUCCUCACCAUGCUGAUGAUGGACUCUUAUCUCUCUGGCAUCAUAAGCCCCAAAUACACCCUUCUUUCUAUAAGUUGCCCUGGUCACGGUGCUUUGCACAGGAAUAGAAAAGGAAUUCAUUCAGCAAUGGAUCACUUCCCUGAAGCCAACCACAGUGCCUGUGUGCAAAUAAGAAACCAGAGUGCUAAAGUUCACCAGGAAAGAGAAGGGAGCAGUCACCUGCACAGCUCUGCCAUUGACAUCGGCUCCGACGGACGCGGCCGUAGCAAUUGUAUUGGGCACCGCUGCUGUGCAUGUUUCGCUGGUGUGCAGGUACGACAUGGGUAUUUUCAAUUCACGGCUGGCCACCUACGAGAAAGGACGUAGUUCAAAUCCAAUAAAGAAUUCUAGAAAACUUAA